GGCGUAAAAGCGAGCGCAGGCGGUUUCUGUAAGUCUGAUGUGAAAAUCCCCCGGGCUCAACCUGGGAAUGUCAUUGGAAACUGGGAGACUAGAGUGCGUAAGAGGAGAGUGGAAUUCCAUGUGUAGCGGUGAAAUGCGUAGAUAUGUGGAGGAACACCGAUGGCGAAGGCGGCUCCCUGGGACGAGACUGACGCUCAUGCUCGAAAGCGUGGGGAGCAAACAGGAUUAGAUACCCUGGUAGUCCACGCCCUAAACGAUGACUGCUAAUUGUUGGAG
rnacentral:rRNA from 1 species